UAAGUCUCAGUUCGGAUUGAAGGCUGAAAUUCGCCUUCAUGAAGCCGGAAUUGCUAGUAAUGGCAGGUCAGCAUACUGCCGUGAAUACGUUCCCGGGGCCUUGUACACACCGCCCGUCACACCAUGAGAGUUGGGAAUACCCGAAGCCUGUGAGCUAACUUUUAGAGGCAGCAGUCGAAGGUAGAAUCAAUGAUUGGGGUGAAGUCGUAACAAGGUAAC
rnacentral:rRNA from 1 species